rnacentral:lncRNA from 1 species
CAUAGAGGAACAGACAGUUUUAGCCUUAGGGGAUUAGAAGUGCUAACAUCAGAAUGACUUAAAGCUUGUCAUCAGUAUCUCUGCUCUGGGUAACAGUGGAACUGGCUCAGAGCUGGCCACUUUGAGUGACUGCUGGACUUUAAAGCCAAAGGGGACUUGAGAACUGUGAGAAGGAUAAUUCCCAGGAAUAGAUAACAUCUACCACGAUGAUGGGAACGAGAAUUUACAGAGUUCCCUGGAAUUUGCACAGUUGAUACAUCUGAGUCUUUUUCUUCUGGAGAUGACUGGCCUAUAGCUUUCACACAGAGAUCCCUAAGUGCAGAAAAUCUGAGGACCCACCCUGCUCAGCAGCUACCCAUCAACGUGUGUCCUGAUGCAGGAGCUUCAGGUUACAGUCUCUCUGGGUCGCCAGAGCAAAUGGCCUACUUGAAGCACAUGAGUCACUGGGAGGCACAGUUGCUCAACAGCCAGUUACUGAUGCAAUGACACAUAUGGACCUCAAAGCCAAAGACUAUCUUCUUUCUCGUCAUUUCUACAGCUUUGGAAGUAGCAUUUCCCCCAGGCAUAGCCACCCUAAUAAAAUUAUACACAGAAG